AAAUUUCUAUAUAAAAUAUUCAUUCCGCACAAGACAGUAAUCUUAGACUCAUCUUAUAUAUUUUUUGAAUAACGUGAAAACUCUUAUCCAUAGCGAAUUCAGAUGUAAUAGUGUCGUGGGCGAAGUAUUAGUCUGAAGAACAAUAAACUUUUUUUUUGUCAACGAAGGACAAUAAACUUAUUUCAUUAAAAAUAACAAAACAUGACAUAUAAAUAUUUUUUUUUUCAAAUUAUAGCAACAAAAAACAUAUUAAUUUUUGGACAAGUAUAACUGCUGCGAGGAAGCUGUUACUUUUGGGCAUCAGAAGCAAAGUGCAUUCAGGGUACGAGGUUAAUGUGUGGGAGGAUCAUUGGAUUCCUUCGACGCCAGCUAGGCCGGCUCGGGCCCGGGCUCCAGCAGUAAACCCAAAGAUGAUCGUAAGUAGCCUUAUCAAUCCUGCUACAAAGGAAUGGGAUGUUCGAAUACUGGAACAAUAUGUUGAUGAAGAGGAUAUCCCGAUGAUUCUGAGUUUGGCCAUAAGCCCUACUCAUCGACGGGACACAUUUUGCUGGAGUUACACGAAGAACGGACAAUAUACUGUUAAGUCGGGAUACUGGGUUGCUACAAACUUGAUGAGAGAUGAGGAGGACUUAGAAAUUCUACAACCCAGCAUUACAAAACUUCAAGCCUUUGCUUGGAAGGUGAAUGCGCCACAAAAGAUAUGCCAUCUUAUAUGGCAAUUAAUAUCCGGACAGGUGGCUGUAACAAGGAAUCUGGUACGCCGUAAUAUGCGCUGUGAUAAUUACUGCCCAAGAUGUGGGGCACCAGAAGAGACCGUUACUCAUGCUAUCUUUGAGUGCCCUCCGGCCUUACAAGCAUGGGAAUUAUCAUCAACCCCGACGAGUUCUGAAAUCUUUCUGGUACCAAGUAUUUAUGCUAAUAUGGACUAUCUUUUUUGGAGAAAGAAUAGUAUUGUGGAGCUGGAGGAUGAUAGAGAUCCUUAUCCUUGGAUAAUUUGGUAUAUCUGGAAAGCUAGGAAUGAUACACUGUUUAGAGGUAUCGACAGAGAUCCAUUAGAGCUAGUUAGGUAUGCAGAGGGAGAGUGUCAAGCUUGGUAUAAUGCAAGAGAAACUGUAUCGAAUCUGCCAAAUGCACAGAAUAAUGAAGAAACACAAGUCUUAAGCUUGAGUAAUAUUUGUAUGGUGGAUGGUUCAUGGACCUCCACGGCGCAGUUUAGUGGAAUGGGAUGGGUUUGGCAGGAUACUUUGGGGAAGAUACAGCUCAUGGGAUCAAGGAAUCUGCGGAGGAGGGAGACAUCACUACACUCGGAGCUGGAAGCGUUAAAGUGGGCAAUGGAGAGUAUGCUACAACACUCGACCUGUCAGAGGUUUGGGACGGACUGUAAGGACAUGAUUGCAAUAAUAGAGCAGCCACAAGAUUGGCCCAACUUCUCAACUGAGCUGGAAAUCAUUCAAACUCUUCGGUUAUGUUUUUCGGAUUUCAAGAUAAGCUACGUUCCAAGGACGCAGAAUGAGAUUGCGGAUUCGUUAGCUAGGAAUGCACGUUCUUUUCAUAGAUCCUUAUGUUUUAUUGGUUGUUCUAUUCCGGUCUGGCUUCCCAGACCACCUCAAGUUUGAGUAAUAGAAUAGCCGUUUCUCGUUAAAAAAAAAAAAAAAAAAACAUAUUAAUUUUUUUCAUACGACCACCACAAAUGAAAGUCGGUCCACCACACUCAUGAGUUGUGAUUCACAUCAUUAUUUUAUUUAAAAACGAGAAAUAUUGAUAGAUCAAUAACCAUA
rnacentral:lncRNA from 1 species